rnacentral:rRNA from 1 species
AACGAACGCUGGCGGCAGGCCUAACACAUGCAAGUCGAGCGAGAUCUUCGGGUCUAGCGGGGGACGGGUGAGUAACGCGUGGGAAUAUGCCUCUUGGUACGGAAUAGCCUCGGGAAACUGGGAGUAAUACCGUAUGUGCCCUUUGGGGGAAAGAUUUAUCGCCAAGAGAUUAGCCCGCGUUGGAUUAGGUAGUUGGUGGGGUAAUGGCCUACCAAGCCGACGAUCCAUAGCUGGUUUGAGAGGAUGAUCAGCCACACUGGGACUGAGACACGGCCCAGACUCCUACGGGAGGCAGCAGUGGGGAAUCUUAGACAAUGGGGGCAACCCUGAUCUAGCCAUGCCGCGUGAGUGAUGAAGGCCUUAGGGUUGUAAAGCUCUUUCAGCUGGGAAGAUAAUGACGGUACCAGCAGAAGAAGCCCCGGCUAACUCCGUG